GUUUUCUAAUGUGAUAAUAAGCUGAACCUCAGAAAUUAAAAAUCAGAACCACAAAUAAGAAUUAACUAUUCAAAUUCUUGAAAACUCGAACAUGCCAUUAGGAACGCCCAAAUAAACCAGAUGGGACUGAAAUUGAAUGGGACACAUCAGCUGCUGGCCUACGCUGGUGAUGCGAAUCUACUGGGAGAUAACACAGACCAUAAAUAAAGACACAGAAACUUUAAGUCAAGCUACUAAGGAGGAUGGUUGAGAACUUCGUCGCCAUUUUGUGAACCCCUGCAACCAUGCUGCCAACUGGUGUAUCACGAUGCAAACGUGGUGAUUUUGCGGCCCUCUUCGUGUAUCAAUCAUAUUUGUGUGUAUAAUACUUUGGAAAAUAUAGUGUUUUGAAAUGGAA